AUUGAACGCUGGCGGCAGGCCUAACACAUGCAAGUCGAGCGAGCGGCGGACGGGUGAGUAAUGUAUGGGGACUGCCCGAUAGAGGGGGAUCACUACUGGAAACGGUGGCUAAUACCGCAUACUAUCGGAUAACCCAUAUGGGAUUAGCUAGUAGGUGGGGUAAAGGCUCACCUAGGCGACGAUCUCUAGCUGGUCUGAGAGGAUGAUCAGCCACACUGGGACGGAGACACGGCCCGGACUCCUACGGAGGAAGCAGUGGGGAAUAUUGCACAAUGGGCGCAAGCCUGAUGCAGCCAUGCCGCGAGUAUGAAGAAGGCCUGAGGGUUGUAAGGUACUUUCAGCGGGGAGACGGGACCCGCAGAGGAAGCACCGGCUAACUCCAUGGCAGCAGCCGCGGUAAUUC
rnacentral:rRNA from 1 species